AUAACCAGUUUAACCCCAUGUCAGACUUGCUCUAAAUGCUUUGGUUUUUUUAGUAAUAACCAAAAACCUCCAUGUUCUAUUUUUAGCCGUGGCGGCCAUCUUGGGUUGAUGCUGGGUCACUGGACACAUUUUUUAUACUUAAUACCCAAAGAUGAUUGUGGCCAAGUUUGGAUUAAUUUGGCCCGGUUGUUUCAGAGGAGAAGAUUUUUGUAAAAGAUGGAGAUUAACGAAAAAUGGUUAAAAAUUGACUAUAAUUUAAAGGGCAAUAAAUCCUAAAGGGAUCAACUGACCAUUUUGGUCAUGUUGACUUAUUUGUAAAUCUUACUUUGCUGAACAU
rnacentral:lncRNA from 1 species